rnacentral:tRNA from 1 species
GCUCCCAUAGCUUAAUGGAUAGAGCGUGGCCCUGCGGAGGCCAAAAUGAAGGUUCGAUUCCUUCUGGGAGCACGA